GAAAAACAAACACUCUUUCUUUUCUUCGUUUUUUGGGGGGAUUGAAUCCUAAUUUUUUGUUUUCUCUUUUCUGGAGAGAAUCUCCUGUGGGGAAUGCAGAGAGAUGAGAGGUGCUUCGUUGACAAAGAGUGAACUGUGUGGCCGUGCCAAACGGUGUAUCGGCGGCCGAAAUUGCCACCGGAAACACGUCGAGGACGGGUGAACUGAUCCUUUCUCAAUCAAGAAAACCGCACAAACUCCCUCCUUUUUUAUUUUCUUUUCUCAGAAUUUUUUUUUUGCCUUCUCGCACCUCCACAUCUUUGUAUAUACUAUUAGAAUAAAAUCUUGUCUCUGUAGCGAUUCUCUUUCUGGGUAUGGCUGAAAGGAGCAAAGAUGGUCACCCGACCUUGCUUCAUGGGAGAUACGAGCUUGGCCGGAUGCUCGGACAUGGCACUUUCGCUAAGGUCUACCAUGCUCGGAAUUUGCAGACGGGAAAGAGCGUGGCUAUGAAGGUGGUCGGCAAAGAGAAGGUCAUAAAGGUCGGUAUGAUGGAGCAAAUCAAGAGGGAAAUUGCUGUUAUGAAGAUGGUGAAGCACCCAAAUAUUGUCGAGCUUCACGAGGUCAUGGCGAGUAAAUCUAAGAUCUAUUUCGCUAUGGAACUUGUUCGAGGCGGUGAGUUGUUCGCCAAGAUUGCUAAGGGUCGAUUGAGGGAGGACGUUGCUAGAGUUUAUUUUCAGCAGUUGAUAUCUGCCAUCGAUUUUUGUCAUAGUCGCGGUGUUUAUCACCGUGAUUUGAAGCCCGAAAAUCUUCUUCUGGAUGAAAAUGGUAACUUGAAGGUUACAGAUUUUGGGCUCAGUGCCUUCUCUGAGCACUUGAAGCAAGAUGGAUUGUUACACACUACCUGCGGCACGCCGGCCUAUGUUGCACCGGAGGUUAUUGGGAAGAAAGGAUACGACGGAGCUACAGCAGAUCUCUGGUCCUGUGGUGUUAUUCUAUAUGUUCUUCUCGCUGGGUUCUUGCCAUUUCAGGAUGAUAAUUUAGUGGCCAUGUAUAGAAAGAUAUACAGAGGUGACUUCAAAUGUCCACCGUGGUUCUCCCCUGAAGCUCGCAGAUUAAUCACAAAGCUUCUCGAUCCAAAUCCAAGCACUCGAAUCACGAUAACCAAGAUGAUGGAUUCCUCAUGGUUCAAGAAAUCAGUACCUAAAACUGUGAGAAGUAAGGAGGAAAUGGAAUUUGAUGCCUUCAACGGAGAAGAAGAUGGCAACAAUGGAGGCAAAUCAAAGCAACCAGAAACACUUAAUGCUUUUCAUAUAAUAUCUUUAUCAGAGGGGUUUGAUUUAUCACCACUCUUCGAAGAGAAGAAAAGGGAGGAGAAGGAGGAGCUGAGGUUCGCCACAACAAGGCCAGCAAGCAGCGUGAUUUCAAGACUAGAGGAGGUGGCCAAGGCAGUGAAAUUCAGCGUGAAGAAGAGCGAGACGAAAGUUAGGAUGCAGGGUCAAGAGAGUGGAAGAAAAGGAAAAUUGGCCAUCGCAGCAGAUAUGUUCGCAGUGACGCCGUCGCUGUUGGUGGUGGAGGUAAAGAAAGAUAAUGGUGACACAUUAGAGUACAAACAAUUCUGCAGCAAAGAGCUGAGACCGGCUCUCAAGGACAUAGUGUGGACGUCUCCUGUUAAUUCUACAAUCGCUUGAGAUGACAAGUGAGAUAUGGAGGUGGUGGGAAAUCGAAGAUUAUUGUUGUGUGAUUGUUAUUAUUGAUUUCGAAUCUUGAUCUUGUUAGUGUUGCUGUUCUUGUUCUGUUAUCAAUGUGAUUGCUGUUUGAGAAAAUAUGCUUUCUAAUAUGUGUGAGUACAUUCCAAGUCCAAGUGGGUAAGGUAAUUGGUAGGUUUAUGCAGAGAAAUUGAAUGGUUGGUAUGCAAUUGAAUUAUUGUCCUGUUAUCAGUGCACUCAAGAAAGAUUGUUAUUGUGUGAUUGUUAUUAUUGAUCUUGAAUCUUGAUCUUGUUAGUGUUGCUGUUCUUGUUCUGUUAUCAAUGUGAUUGCUGUUUGAGAAAAUAUGCUUUCUAAUAUGUGUGAGUACAUUCCAAGUCCAAGUGGGUAAGGUAAUUGGUAGGUUUAUGCAGAGAAAUUGAAUGGUUGGUAUGCAAUUGAAUUAUUGUCCUGUUAUCAGUGCACUCAAGAAAGAUUGUUAUUGUGUGAUUGUUAUUAUUGAUCUU
rnacentral:misc_RNA from 1 species